CACCCGCCGCCACACGACGCCGCCCACAAUCUAGGAUUCCCAGUCGUGCCCGCAGGAGAGGACGCCCUACGCGUUCCCCACCUGCUGCAUAUGCCACCGCCACAAUAUCUGCGCGCCGCGGCGGCAACCUCCAUGCUCGAAGCCGAAGAUCUGCACACCGCCGCAGGCGCCAGCUCGAUCACAUGAUCCGAACAGGUUGCACAACAGUCCUUCUCGCAACUGCGUGCUGAGGGAGCGAUUUCAGGAUGUAACCGUCCCGCCGUUCGGGUCUAAUGGUACUGCCUACAGUCCGGCUCCGAUUCUAGCUCAGGAGGACGUGCUCCAGUUCCCCGCCAUCCUCUCUGCAUCCAAUUUUUAUAUUUCAGCUUAUGUGUUGUCUCAUGUGCAAUUGAAGCGCAUCAGUUCUGUUAUUCUGAUUGAACUGAAACUCUUACAGACCAUCAAUGACAAGUCCCAGGAGCAGAGGAUCUCAGCUGGUAAAAUAGCUUUAUGGUUAGUGCCCGGAGUUUCUGAAUCCUAUUUGUGAGAGUAUUGUUUUGGAGAAAGGAAAUGGCUGCUUUGUCUACAUUGAUAUUGUUUGCAUUAUGACAUGCAGAUUUACAUUGCGCGUUGGAGCAUGGACAUGGGCUAGCUUGUAAUUUCUUUAGCUCAUGUAUAUCUCUCAGACAGAAUGGAAUGGAAUGGAAUAGAAUGCUACUCAUCUAUCUCACCCUCUCUUCAAAUAGUUAUCCUACAAGUUUUCUUAAAUUGAACUUGUGGCUUAUUUGCAUACAAGACUAGACGAUCAGUGGUUUCUGUAAUCCUAAUAUAUCUCACAUUUAAUUAGUUUUUACGCUUAUCUCUGACGAUAAUUUUCCAUGUUCGGUGCGUCAGUUCAUAGACGAUGAUAGCCGAACGGGGGUUAAUAGAAAGUUAGAGUUGUGGAGGCGAACCCUCGAGUCGAAAGGUUUUAGGCUUAGUAGAACUAAAACUGAAUACAUGAGGUGCAGUUUCAGUUCUACUAGGCACGAGGAGGGAGAGGUUAGCCUUGAUGGGCAGGUGGUACCGGAGAGAGACACUUUUCGAUAUUUGGGGUCCAUGUUGCAGAAGGAUGGCGAUAUCGAUGAAGAUGUGGGCCACCGAAUC